rnacentral:lncRNA from 1 species
CUGGGAAAAUAAACAUCUGCUUCUCUUUUAGUAAGCUGCUUUUGUCCGACUACAAUCUGUGUGUGUGUGCACUGUGUGUGUACUGUGUGUACUGUGUGUGUACUGUGUGUGUACUGUGUGUGCACUGUGUGUGUACUGUGUGUACUGUGUGUGUACUGUGUGUGUACUGUGUGUGCACUGUGUGUGUACUGUGUGUACUGUGUGUGUACUGUGUGUACUGUGUGUGCACUGUGUGUACUGUGUGUACUGUGUGUGUACUGUGUGUACUGUGUGUGCACUGUGUGUACUGUGUGUACUGUGUGUGUACUGUGUGCACUGUGUGUGUACUGUGUGUACUGUGUGUGCACUGUGUGUACUGUGUGUACUGUGUGUGUACUGUGUGUACUGUGUGUGUACUGUGUGUACUGUGUGUGCACUGUGUGUGUACUGUGUGUACUGUGUGUGUACUGUGUGUGUACUGUGUGUACUGUGUGUGUACUGUGUGUGUACUGUGUGUGUACUGUGUGUACUGUGUGUGCACUGUGUGUGUACUGUGUGUACUGUGUGUGUACUGUGUGUACUGUGUGUGUACUGUGUGUACUGUGUGUACUGUGUGUGUACUGUGUGUACUGUGUGUGUACUGUGUGUGUACUGUGUGUACUGUGUGUACUGUGUGUACUGUGUGUGUACUGUGUGUACUGUGUGUACUGUGUGUGUACUGUGUGUACUGUGUGUGCACUGUGUGUGUACUGUGUGUACUGUGUGUACUGUUGUGUACUGUGUGUACUGUUGUGUACUGUGUGUACUGUGUGUGUACUGUGUGUACUGUGUGUGUACUGUACUGUGUGUGUACUGUGUGUGUACUGUGUGUGUACUGUGUGUGUACUGUGUGUGUACUGUGUGUGUACUGUUGUGUACUGUGUGUGCACUGUGUGUGUACUGUGUGUACUGUGUGUACUGUGUGUACUGUGGUGUGUACUGUGUGUACUGUGUGUGUACUGUGUGUGUACUGUGUGUACUGUGUGUGUACUGUGUGUGUACUGUGUGUACUGUGUGUGCACUGUGUGUACUGUGUGUGCACUGUGUGUGUACUGUGUGUGUACUGUGUGUGUACUGUGUGUGUACUGUGUGUACUGUGUGUGUACUGUGUGUGUACUGUGUGUACUGUGUGUACUGUGUGUGUACUGUGUGUGUACUGUUUGUGUACUGUGUGUACUGAGGGAGGCUUGAUGAAACUGAAAGAGGUCUUUGAAGACGCUGUGGUCGGAGAUGUCCUGACGCUUGUGGUCCAUCACUUGUCUCUCAGCUGUUCCCCCUG